rnacentral:rRNA from 1 species
CCAGACUCCUACGGGAGGCAGCAGUGGGGGAUAUUGCACAAUGGGGGGAACCCUGAUGCAGCGACGCCGCGUGGGUGAAGGAGCGUUUCGGCGCGUAAAGCCCUAUCGGCAGGGAAGAAGGAGGACGGUACCUGACUAAGAAGCCCCGGCUAACUCCGUGCCAGCAGCCGCGGUAAUACGGAGGAUGCGAGCGUUAUCCGGAUUUAUUGGGUUUAAAGGGUGCGUAGGCGGAAUGCCAAGUCAGCGGUAAAAUCGCGGGGCACAACCCCGCCCAGCCGUCGGAACUGCCGGGCUAGAGUGGGCGAGAAGUGCGCGGAAUGCGUGGUGUAGCGGUGAAAUGCAUAGAUAUCACGCAGAACUCCGAUUGCGAAGGCAGCAUACCGGCGCCCAACUGACGCUGAAGCACGAAAGCGUGGGUAUCGAACAGGAUUAGAUCCCCCUGUA